rnacentral:rRNA from 1 species
GACGAACGCUGGCGGCGUGCCUAAUACAUGCAAGUUGAGCGCUGAAGGUUGGUACUUGUACCAACUGGAUGAGCAGCGAGCGGGUGAGUAACGCGUGGGGAAUCUGCCUUUGAGCGGGGGACAACAUUUGGAAACGAAUGCUAAUACCGCAUAAAAACUUUAAACACAAGUUUUAAGUUUGAAGGAUGCAAUUGCAUCACUCAAAGAUGAUCCCGCGUUGUAUUAGCUAGUUGGUGAGGUAAAGGCUCACCAAGGCGAUGAUACAUAGCCGACCUGAGAGGGUGAUCGGCCACAUUGGGACUGAGACACGGCCCAAACUCCUACGGGAGGCAGCAGUAGGGAAUCUUCGGCAAUAGACGAAAGUCUGACCGAGCAACGCCGCGUGAGUGAAGAAGGUUUUCGGAUCGUAAAACUCUGUUGGUAGAGAAGAACGUUGGUGAGAGUGGAAAGCUCAUCAAGUGACGGUAACUACCCAGAAAGGGACGGCUAACUACGUG